GUUAGUGGGUAAUUGCGUGUCGCUUAUGCGACAUGAGGAAAGUCCAUGCUCGCACUGACUGCGAUGUCAGUAGUGUUCGUGCUAGCUGAAAAAAUAAGGCUAGGCAGUCAGCAAUGAUUGACGGCCAACGAAAGACCUAAAGGUAACCAUGGUUUAGUAGUUGUUAAGGUGCCACAGUGACGAAGCUGGUUAGAAAUAAACAGCGUGGAACGCGGUAAACCCCACGAGCGAGCAACCCAAACUUUGGUAGGGGCGCUUGAUCUAGCAAAAUGAAGCGAUGGUCGGGGAGGCAGCAAUGCCUGAGAUAGAUGAUUACCGCUAAAAGAAGCUUGCCACGUUUCUUUUAGAACAAAACAUGGCUCACAGCU
rnacentral:RNase_P_RNA from 1 species